rnacentral:rRNA from 1 species
UGGUAUACAUUCCGAACGGAUGCUAAACCGCAUAGGUCCUUUAACCGCAUGGUUGAAGGAGGAAAAGAGGCGCAAGCUUCUGCUGAUGGAUGGACCCGCGGUGCAUUAGCUAGUUGGUGAGGUAACGGCUCACCAAGGCCGUGAUGCAUAGCCGACCUGAGAGGGUGAUCGGCCACAUUGGGACUGAGACACGGCCCAAACCUCCUACGGGAGGCAGCAAUCACUAGUGAAGUCCGCAGCA